rnacentral:rRNA from 1 species
GCUCAGAUUGAACGCUGGCGGCAGGCCUAACACAUGCAAGUCGAGCGGUAGCACAAGAGAGCUUGCUCUCUGGGUGACGAGCGGCGGACGGGUGAGUAAUGUCUGGGAAACUGCCUGAUGGCGGGGGAUAACUAGUGGAAACGGUAGCUAAUACCGCAUAACGUCGCAAGACCAAAGUGGGGGCCCUUCGGGCCUCACGCCAUCAGAUGUGCCCAGGUGGGAUUAGCUGGUAGGUGAGGUAACGGCUCACCUAGGCGACGAUCCCUAGCUGGUCUGAGAGGAUGACCAGCCACACUGGAACUGAGACACGGUCCAGACUCCUACGGGAGGCAGCAGUGGGGAAUAUUGCACAAUGGGCGCAAGCCUGAUGCAGCCAUGCCGCGUGUGUGAAGAAGGCCUUCGGGUUGUAAAGCACUUUCAGCGAGGAGGAAGGGUAAUGUGU